rnacentral:rRNA from 1 species
GACGAACGCUGGCGGCGUGCUUAACACAUGCAAGUCGAGCGGUAAGGCCCUUUCGGGGUACGACGAGCGGCGAACGGGUGAGUAACACGUGGGUGACCUGCCCUCAGCUCUGGGAUAAGCCUGGGAAACUGGGUCUAAUACCGGAUAUGACUUCGCAUCGCAUGGUGGUGGGGUGGAAAGUUUUUCGGUCNGGGGAGUGGGCCCGCCGGCCUAUCAGCUUGUUGGUGGGGUGAUGGCCUACCAAGGCGACGACGGGUA